GGCUCUGUAGCUAAGUCGGUGAAGCACUAGUGUAGCAUAUAAGGGUCGUGAGUUAAAAUCUCACUUGAGCUU
rnacentral:tRNA from 1 species